GGAAAAGAGUACUGUAGGACCUUUGCCAAUUGCAUUGUAGAUUCCUGGAACUAAUCCUCAGGAGGAUCCUAAAAGGCUGUGAACAUAUGCAGUGAAGUAUUUGACCAAUCCAUGCAAAAGCAGUCCUACAACAUGACCAUAAAACCAUGCCUUGACUUAAUCCAUGGAGGAUUAUGUCCACUAAUCACUGUUGUUCCCUGUGCCUGAAGCAAAAGGUGGAAAGAGACAUCACGUGUUUGAAUGCAGGUCACCUCCCACUGCCUACAGAGAGGAUUUUCCCAGGUAUGGAAGUUCAGCUGAGAGGUGUGCAGUUUCCUGGGUCCACUUUUUCCAUUUUUUAAAAAAUGGGAACAACGUUAGCUUCUCUCCAAUCUUCCAGCAUUUCCCCUGUACUCCAGAACUUCUUAACUGCAAAAUGCCAAAUGACCUUCUUCUCAACUAAGCCAAACCAAAAUAAGGACUGCAUUCUGUAGAUUUAUCCCUACUUAGUGCAGCAAGUAUAGCAAUAUACUAAAGCCUACAACUACAACUUAAAUCCACGGGACUUAAAACUGCUUAACAGUGUUGGAUCAUAUGGUUUGACAGAUUGUAUUAUGACUGUCUCUGAAUGAAGGUUAGGUUGUUUUCCAUUUCACUUCAAACCUAAGAGGGUCCUUCCCUCUUCUGUUACUCUGAGAAAGCAUACUUGAUCUCCAGAGCAAUUCCAUUUAUCUUGGACCAUCUCCCUCAAUAUAUGUGAGUCACAAAGGAAUACUUCAAAAGCUGCCUUCUUGAGCCUCCAGCCACUCCUCCUGAAAGGAUGAAUGAAAAUAUUCAGUCCUCCAGACCUAUGGUUGCAAUCACAUGUCAGUGCCAAAAUAGAGGCCAGUUUGCAAUUCGUGAAUGCAGGGGUGUCUCAGCAGGAACCUAGGUCAGUGUUUAUGAAAAAUUUCCCCCACAGUCCCAAAAAUCAAUUCAGUGCAAAAUACUAUACCAGGCCUUAGGUCAAUCACUGGCUCUCUUAUGAGAGAGUGGUGUUAAAUCUAUCAUGUAACAUUUGAAAUGACUAAAGGAACCUGAUCCAACUCCCUUGUCAGUUCAUUGACAGGAAGCAAAUGAAGAGCUACAGUGAGUUUCUCUCCUUUGGAAUGUUGAUAAUGCUCAAGAGAGUAACAAGGAAGCUAUAAAAAACCUGCAGAUCAACUACGGAGUUGUGUUUCUCAUGAGAAAAUAUGGCAUCACAUGAUGCUGCAGUUAGGCAAAAGAGCAGGCAGAGAUAAGUCCUUAUGAAUAAGUCCUUAUGAAUAAAAAUCUUCUUAUCAUAGCCAACACAUUGGUUUGCUGCCAUACAGAUGUAAGGAGAGUCCUGCUGGGUUCAAAUAAAGGUCUUUUUAGCUCAAG